AUUGAACGCUGGCGGCAUGCCUUACACAUGCAAGUCGAACGGCAGCACGGGAGCAAUCCUGGUGGCGAGUGGCGAACGGGUGAGUAAUGUAUCGGAACGUGCCCAGUCGUGGGGGAUAACGUAGCGAAAGCUACGCUAAUACCGCAUACGAUCUAUGGAUGAAAGCGGGGGACCGUAAGGCCUCGCGCGAUUGGAGCGGCCGAUAUCAGAUUAGGUAGUUGGUGGGGUAAAGGCCUACCAAGCCGACGAUCUGUAGCUGGUCUGAGAGGACGAGGAGCCACAAUGGGACUGAGUCACGGCCCAGACUCCUACGGGAGGCAGCAGUGGGGAAUUUUGGACAAUGGGCGCAAGCCUGAUCCAGCAAUGCCGCGUGCAGGAUGAAGGCCUUCGGGUUGUAGACUGCUUUUGUACGGAGCGAAAAGGCUCUCUCUAAUACAGGGGGCUCAUGACGGUACCGUAAGAAUAAGCACCGGCUAACUACGUGCCAGCAGCCGCGGUAA
rnacentral:rRNA from 1 species